rnacentral:rRNA from 1 species
UGGGGAAUUUUGGACAAUGGGCGAAAGCCUGAUCCAGCAAUGCCGCGUGUGUGAAGAAGGCCUUCGGGUUGUAAAGCACUUUUGUCCGGAAAGAAAUCCUUGGCUCUAAUACAGUCGGGGGAUGACGGUACCGGAAGAAUAAGCACCGGCUAACUACGUGCCAGCAGCCGCGGUAAUACGUAGGGUGCAAGCGUUAAUCGGAAUUACUGGGCGUAAAGCGUGCGCAGGCGGUUUGCUAAGACCGAUGUGAAAUCCCCGGGCUCAACCUGGGAACUGCAUUGGUGACUGGCAGGCUAGAGUAUGGCAGAGGGGGGUAGAAUUCCACGUGUAGCAGUGAAAUGCGUAGAGAUGUGGAGGAAUACCGAUGGCGAAGGCAGCCCCCUGGGCCAAUACUGACGCUCAUGCACGAAAGCGUGGGGGAGCAAAACAGGAUUAGAUACCCUGGUAGUCCCACGCCCUAAAACGAUGUCAACUAGUUGUUGGGGAUUCAUUUCCUUAGUAACGUAGCUAACGCGUGAAGUUGACCGCCUGGGGAGUACGGUCGCAAGAUUAAAACUUAAAUGAAUUGACGGGGUCAUAGCUGUUUCCU